rnacentral:rRNA from 1 species
CGUGAGAUUUGAUCCUGGCUCAGAACGAACGUGGCGGCAGGCCUAACACAUGCAAGUCGAACGCUGUAGCAAUACAGAGUGGCAGACGGGUGAGUAACGCAUGGGAACCUUCCCAGUGGUGCGGAAUAGCUCAGGGAAACUUGAGGUAAUACCGCAUAAGCCCUUAGGGGGAAAGAUUUAUCGCCAUUGGAUGGGCCCGCGUCGGAUUAGCUAGUUGGUGAGGUAAUGGCUCACCAAGGCAACGAUCCGUAGCUGGUUUGAGAGAAUGACCAGCCACACUGGGACUGAGACACGGCCCAGACUCCUACGGACACAUAGGAAUCU